AAUGAACGUUGGCGGCGUGGAUUAGGCAUGCAAGUCGAGCGAGAACCGGUUUCGGCCGGGGACAGCGGCGAACGGCGUAGUAAUGCAUCGGAACGUACCCUCUGGUCGGGGAUGGCUACGGGAAACUGUAGGUAAUACCCGAUGAUCUCUGCGGAGCAAAGGUGAGAUUCCGCCGGAGGAGCGGCUGAUGUGAUAUUAGCUAGUUGGUGGGGUAAUGGCCUACCAAGGCGAUGGUGUCUAGGGGGUGUGAGAGCAUGGCCCCCACGACCGGAACUGAGAUACUGUCCGGACACCUACGGGUGGCUGCAGUCGAGAAUCUUCCGCAAUGGACGAAAGUCUGACGGAGCGACGCCGCGUGCGGGAUGAAGGCCCUUGGGUUGUAAACCGCUGUCAGAGGGGAUGAAAUCUUCGGAGGUACUCCUCCGAAGUUGACAGAGCCUCAAAGGAAGCACGGGCUAAGUACGUGCCAGCAGCCGCCGUAAAAC
rnacentral:rRNA from 1 species